rnacentral:rRNA from 3 species
UACAGAGGUGGCAAGCGUUGUUCGGAAUUACUGGGCGUAAAGGGCGCGUAGGCGGUCUUGCAAGUCCCGUGUGAAAUCCCUCGGCUCAACUGAGGAACUGCACGGGAAACUGCUUGGCUUGAGUUCGGGAGAGGGAAGCGGAAUUCCGGGUGUAGCGGUGAAAUGCGUAGAUAUCCGGAGGAACACCGGUGGCGAAGGCGGCUUCCUGGACCGACACUGACGCUGAGGCGCGAAAGCUAGGGGAGCAAACGGG